rnacentral:rRNA from 1 species
GACGUAGGAUGCGAGCGUUAUUCGGAUUUAUUGGGCGUAAAGCGUGCGUAGGCGGCUGUUUAAGUCUGGUGUUAAAGCUAGGGGCUCAACCCCUGUGGUGCACUGGAAACUGGGCAGCUUGAGUGCGGUAGGGGAAGGUGGAAUUCCGAGUGUAGCGGUGAAAUGCGUAGAUAUUCGGAAGAACACCGGUGGCGAAGGCGACCUUCUGGGCCGCAACUGACGCUGAGGCACGAAAGCCUGGGGGAGCGAACGGG